UCUACGGUGUUUCUUGCUUUGGAAUGAGC
rnacentral:sRNA from 1 species